UCCAUUUUCUUGCAUUGCUUCUGACCCAACAACUUCUAUGCCGUUUAGUCUUUUAUUGAAUUUGCAUUGUGUUAAAAUAUGAUAACCUAUUCAGCGGUCACAGUAGGUAAAUGCCGCCACGUGUGGUCCUUGAAUUUGAGGAAAUUGGUCCUGGAAAGUCCUUGAAAGGUCCUUGAAUUUGAUGUUCACCAAGGUGUGGGAACCCUGUGUUCAAAAGGAGA